rnacentral:rRNA from 1 species
GACGAAGGGGGCUAGCGUUGUCCGGAUUUACUGGGCGUAAAGAGCGCGCAGGCGGUCGUUCAAGUCGAGUGUGAAAGCCCCCCGGCUCAACUGGGGAGGGUCAUUCGAUACUGAUCGACUCGAAGGCAGGAGAGGGUAGUGGAAUUCCCGGUGUAGUGGUGAAAUGCGUAGAUAUCGGGAGGAACACCAGUGGCGAAGGCGACUACCUGGCCUGUUCUUGACGCUGAGGCGCGAAAGCUAGGGGAGCAAACGGGG